rnacentral:rRNA from 1 species
UACGUAGGGGGCAAGCGUUGUUCGGAAUGACUGGGCGUAAAGGGUGCGUAGGCGGUGUAGCAAGUUAGAAGUGAAAUACCUAGAGCUUAACUCAGGUGCUGCUUCUAAAACUGCUAUACUUGAGUGCAGUAGAGGAAAGUGGAAUUCCUAGUGUAGCGGUGGAAUGCGUAGAUAUUAGGAGGAACAUCAGUGGCGAAGGCGACUUUCUGGACUGUAACUGACGCUGAGGCACGGAAGUGUGGGGAGCAAACAGG